rnacentral:lncRNA from 1 species
UCAAAGAAAAUUUAAGGGCAUGAAUUGUGUUUACGAAGUUCUGCGAGAGUUGUAGAACAUUUCAUAAAUGAAAAUAUAACGUGGUAGAGUCAACUCUUGCCUGUGGGGCAUAAUUUGUUGUUUGAAAGUCCUUGAGCUAAGUCUUGCCUCUAAGUCAAGAAUUGUAGAACAUCUCAUAAAUGAAGACAUAACGUGGUAGUAUCAACUCUUGGCCGUUGGACAUAAUUUAUUAUUUGAAAGUCCUUGAGCUAAGUUUUACCUCUAAGACAAGAGUUGUAGAACAUUCUAUAAAUGAAUACAUAAUGUAGUGGUGUCAACUCUUGCCCAUGGGGAAUAAUUUGUAGUUUGAAAGUUUUUGGGCUAAGUCUUUCCUCUAAGGCAAGAGUUGUAGAAUAUCUCAUAAAUGAAGACAUAACGUGGUAGUGUCAACGCUUGUCCGUGGGGCAUAAUUUGUAGUUUGAAAGUCCUUGAGCUAAGUCUUGUCUCUAAGACAAUAGUUGUAGAACAUCUUGUAGAGAAUAGCAGAAGAAAGGUGGAAUUAGGGAGACCUUCUGCUAGCCCAAGAUCAUUAACUAAGAUCGAAAGAUUAAAUUAAGAAGAGGAAGCUAGAAAAAUAGAAGGAAGAUAUUGAAUAAGAGAGCUUGGGAAUAGAAGAAUACUACUUUAUAUGCUUUUUAUUGAAUUUAUUUUUGGAUGGUUUUGGUUUUUUUGGAUGGUUACAAAUGUACAAGACCAUCCCUAUUUAUACUUGUUCAUGGAUGGUUCUAGAAAAACUUGUAGAUACUUCUACAAGAAAAAUCUAGUGAUGUUUAUCUUCUACUACUCUAGAAUAUCUAGAUUAUAUUCAAGAUAAAAAUCUAGUCAUGUUUAUCUUCUACUACUACUCUAAAAUAUCUAGAUAAUUCUACAAGAUGUUUAUUCAAGAUACUAUACUAGACUUAUUCUAGAAACUUAACUAGAAAUCUAUUCUUCCAAAAAAUCUACUUCAAUAUUUUCUCACUUUUCCUUAACGUGAUUUUUUAGAGCUACUAGAUAAUUCUACAAGAUGUUUAUUCAAGAUACUAUACUAGACUUAUUCUAGAAACUUAACUAGAAAUCUAUUCUUCCAAAAAAUCUACUUUAAUAUUUUCUCACUUUUCCUUAAAGUGAUUUUUUAGAGCUACCCUGAACUUGUCGCGGAAGAACUCAAAUGAAGCUUUGAGCCACGCCUUGGUGAAACUCUUAUCAGUUUUUUCCAAACUUUUCUUUCUUCUUCCAAUGAUGAAGAUUUUCCAUCAUCGAUUUGUCCUUUUUGAGUUUUAUGAUGUUGAGUUCUCGAGCUCCCCCUUUCACUUAACUUCUCUACAACUUCAUUAUCUGAAGACACACAUGUGAUGGAAAAGUUUGAAGCUCUAGUAUUCUAGAUUUUAGAACUUACUCUUUCUAAAGAAACUUUAUAGCACAAGGAUAUUUUUUCGGUAUCAGUCUCCUCAUUUAAUUUGAUUCCGAUCUGAUCAACAAUUUCCCUUGAAGACUCGGUAACAUAAUAGGUUGCACCUUUAGAUUCUAUUUCUAGUUCUUCAAUCAUAUUAUAUGCCUCUUCAUAUGAAAUUAUGGCUUUAAUUUCAAUGUUUUCAUCUCUUUGAUCUUUAGCUUCUUCAUUAGCUUCAAGUAUUUCCUAUGAGCCGGGACUGACCUUGAUAUGAUAGAUGAUUUAUCAGAGACUUCAACUUCUACUACAUUUUCCUUAAUGAUUUCUCCAAUAAAUUCAUCAUCGAUAUAUAGAGUUUCAUACACCAUCUGUUCAGAAUCUACUUCAAUAUCCUUUAUAUCCAGACUUUUUACCAUUUUUAGGAUCUAUUUCUUUGAUUUCCUUGAUAGCAGCUGUCACGUCUCCAGUCUGAAAGUCUUUACUAUCUUCUUUCUUCCUAUCAGUGCCUUCCUUCUCCUCAAGAUGGGUUGUAUUAUAUCUGCUCUAAUCUCUUUCCAAAUUUAUGAAAGCCAAGAUAUUUAUUGCUCAACUCUCAGCUUCUAAGCAUUUUUCCCAGCCUUCUUCUUCUUCAACAACUUUUUCAGUAUGAGUUAUGUUGCUCUUUGUGGCUCGACAAUAUCUUUUUAUAUGUCCUGCUUUGCCAUAUCGACAACAUCUAAGAUACUUUUUAGUAUAAUUGAUAAAAGUAUCUUUCUUUUUUCAGGCGAGCUUAAACCACAUGAGAAUCGAGUAUGAGGUAUAUCUCUUACAUUUUCUUUAACGUUCCUCUUGUGAUCAGCUACAAGAGCAUUUCCUCCUCUUUCUUUGAAAAAUUCACCAACUAAUUGUUUGUCUAGUAAAUCUUGUGACGACAAUAAAUUCUUAAAUUCCUCCAAGGAUGGUUGUUGAGCCUAUCCUUGAAUUGAUAUCACAAACGGAAUAUAUUCUGGUUUCAAACCACAAAUGAUAAUUCUUCUCAUUCGUGCUUCAGAGAUAGCCUCAUCCAUAUUCAAUAAAGAAAUCUCAGAACAUAAGUUCUUAAUCUUUAAAAAGUACUCUAGAAUAGAAAGAUUACCUUGAAUGGUGUUCGCCAAUUCAUUCUCCAAUAUUUGUAGCCGAGCUUUAUUCUUCUUGUUGAACAACUGGUCGAGGGUUCUCCAUAUAUCAUGAGCUGAUUUACACCUUAUAAUAUGGUCAAAUAAAUUGGAGGAGAUAGACCUCUUCAGAAUGAACUCCGUCGUUGCAUUAAUCUGCUUUCAUUUCUUGUAUGUACUACUAUUCUCUGGUCCGUCAUUUGGAGGACUUGUGUUACUUCCGUUAACAACAUUUCACAAAUAUGAUUCCAUAAAAGUCUUCCAUAUGAUUCCAUAAAAGUGUUACUUCCGCCCAUAAGAUAUGAUUCCAUAAAAGUCUUCUAUACCUUGUAAUUGGACAGAUUCAAUAACUCCAUUCCCAGUCCAUUAACACAAUCGCUAAAAUCCAUUCGCACAAAUCAGUUGAAUCAACCAUAAAGCCAAUCUUGAAAUAAACACAAGCCAAUUUAUGGCUUUGGCUAUGAUACCAUGUAGAUAAUAGCAUAAGAAAGGUGGAAUUGGAGAGACCUUCUGCUAGCCCAAGAUCAUUAACUAAGAUUGGAAGAUUCAACUAAGAAGAGAAAACUAAUAAAUAGAAAGAAGAUAUUGAAUAAGAGAUCUUGGGUAUAGAAGAAUACUACUUUAUAUGCUUUGUAUUGAAUUUGUUUUUGGAUGGUUUUG